ACCCGCUGAACUUAAGCAUAUCACUAAGCGGAGGAAAAGAAAUUAACUAAGAUUGCCUCAGUAACGGCGAGUGAAGCGGCAAGAGCCCAAGCUGGAAAUCUUCACACUGCGUGUGACGAAUUGUAAUCUAGAGAGGGUUCGCUCAACGGGCGGUGGCGCAGAAGUGCCUUAGAACGGGCCGCCAGAGAGGGUGACAGCCCCGUAUGUGGUGCCACUGCCUAACGAGCGGGUCCCCGACGAGUCGGGUUGUUUUGUAUUGCAGCCCUAAGUGGGAGAUAAACUUCUUCUAAGGCUAAAUACCUAUGGGAAACCGAUAGCGAACAAGUACUGUGAAGGAAAGAUGAAAAGAACUUUGAAAAGAGAGUCAAAAGACUUGAAAUCGUUGAGAAGGAAGCGGUAGAAAUUUAUUCUUCGGCGGUGAACGGUGGCUUCUGCCUAUCCAUUGCCGGCUGCCAGCACUUCAUAAGGCUGCGGCCGGCACCUGGGGAAGCGGCUGUCUUGUUCUCCGCCGUGAGGCAAAAUGAGGUCGCACAUCCGCAGAGGCUUCCCAGACCUGGCCCGAUUCGUCGGGCAGUCUGGGUUUGCCGGCGGGCGUGCGGCCUGAGGGUGCUUCGUGCGAUUUUGCCAAAAUGGUUUU
rnacentral:rRNA from 1 species